rnacentral:rRNA from 1 species
GAUGAACGCUGGCGGCGUGCCCAAUACAUGCAAGUCGAGCGAACGGACGAGAAGCUUGCUUUUCUGAUGUUAGCGGCGGACGGGUGAGUAACACGUGGAUAACCUACCUAUAAGACUGGGAUAACUUCGGGAAACCGGAGCUAAUACCGGAUAAUAUUUUGAACCGCAUGGUUCAAAAGUGAAAGACGGUCUUGCUGUCACUUAUAGAUGGAUCCGCGCUGCAUUAGCUAGUUGGUAAGGUAACGGCUUACCAAGGCAACGAUGCAUAGCCGACCUGAGAGGGUGAUCGGCGACACUGGAACGGAGACGCGGUCCAGACGCCUACGGGAGGCAGCAGUAGGGAAUCUUCCGCAAUGGGCGAAAGCCUGACGGAGCAACGCCGCGUGAGUGAUGAAGGUCUUCGGAUCGUAAAACUCUGUUAUUAGGGAAGAACAUAUGUGUAAGUAACUGUGCACAUCUUGACGGUACCUAAUCAGAAAGCCACGGCUAACUACGUG